CAGCAAUCUUUGGCACUUUUUCAUGGAAAUCUAUUACAGUAAUGUACUUAAUUUUUAUCCAGAAGUGAUUUGAUAUUUAUAUAAAAAUGGCUGCAUUGGGCCUUUAAGUAGCUACCUUUAGCACGUCUCAGUACCUUAAAACAGUCUUAUGUGUUUGGUUAUACUGUAGUGGCAUGAGUCAUGAUGUCAAUGAUCACUCCUCCUAUACUGUAUGAGUCAUGUCAAGCUGAACAGGAUCAUCUUUUUUCUACACUAACUGUAUGAUGACCUACUACAGUAACUCCUUUUAUGAAAUUACAGACAGUGAUGUAGUCUAAUUGUUAGUGAGUUUUUAGAAUGGCAUAUCUAUAUCUCUGUGCAACUGAUGAGGUUAAAAUGUAGAAUGUUUUCUUAUGCUUGUUAGACAGCCUCUAAUUUCCCAGGACUUGAGCCUGAACCCAGGACUCACUGGAAAACAGUGGUAAGUGUAACUGACAAGUCAACUCAGCGACCCCGUUAUUUGUGUGAGAGCAGAGGUCAAGAAGACUUGUAAGCCUACUAACUGUUGCAUUUUAUUUUAUGUGUGCUCUUGUUGCACAAGCAAUUUCCCUGUCUAUACAACAAAUACAGUUGAACGUUCUUUCAUUGAGUGGAGCAAAUAUGUGUAAACUGUCUAAUUGUGUUGCAGAACAACAGCGGGACUCUGGCCACCUUCUCUCUUCCUCCACGGAUGACCUACCCAGUCCAGAUCCCUGCAGGGUUCACAACGCAGACAUCCUCUGGCCAGCUUUACAUGGUCAACUUUAUAGUGAUGGUGUCCCAGGUUCCAGCCGGCCACAGCCCUCUCCCAGCUCCAGAAGGGGGUACCUGUAGUGGAGUGGAAAGAUCCCAGCUCAUCUUCCCAGCAGUCAGCUAUAGUGGUCCCUUCUACUGUCCUCAAGACCAUGACCACUCCGAAGACAGAUCUGUUCUCCCCACGACCUGUGGCCCCUCCCACAGCUGUACCUCAGACACCAGAGCAGACCCUGAUACGUCCAGUCCAGGUGAUGCCUCCGGUCCAGCCACCUGAUGAGAAGCCUGUGCUACACAAACCCGUGGUCCAGCCCCCAGUUCAGGAGAACCAUCUCCUUCAGCAGCCAAAGGUUCCUUUAGCUCAGGCACGCUUUUCUGUGCAGACUCCAGUGUCCUUUUAUUUUCGUCCCAACCGCCAUCUCACCCCCCAGAGAGCCCUUUCGACAGUGGUGAUUUCAAUCUGGAUGGGAUUGACUUCGACAGUCCACAGCAGCUAG
rnacentral:lncRNA from 1 species